UAGCACUGUAAAGAUAACUGGGGAG
rnacentral:misc_RNA from 1 species